AGAAUCAACGCUGGCGGCGUGCCUCAGACAUGCAAGUCGAACGCGAAAGUCCCCUUCGGGGGGCGAGUAGAGUGGCGCACGGGUGAGUAACACGUAGGUAAUCUACCUUUGGAUGGGGAAUAACAACCGGAAACGGUUGCUAAUACCGCAUAAUGCAGCGGCACCUAAUGGUGACAGUUGUUAAAGCGGGGGAUCGAAAGACCUCGCGUCUAAAGAGGAGCCUGCGGCGGAUUAGCUAGUUGGUAAGGUAAUGGCUUACCAAGGCUACGAUCC
rnacentral:rRNA from 1 species